GGGGCCGUGGUAGGGCAACAGUGGUAGCAGGACGGUGCAGGCAGCCCGCAGCACAAAGGCCGAGCAUGGGGCACCGGCGGCUCGCACAUGGGGAGGGGUUGUCGGCGAGCGCCUGCGUUUACAGCCGGGCGGCGAGGGGCAGCGAUGGGCGUGGUAGGGAGGAGGGUGAGGGGUGAGCUAGCUUGUGCGCGAGGUGGGGCCUACGGCAAGGUGUGGGAAGAGGCAUAGGGGGAUUUGGUGUCCGGGCGAGCAUGGCAGCGGCUGUGCGAGGCGAGGGCAGCGGCGGUGGGGCGAGGCGAAAUCAGCGGCGGCGGUGUGAUGCAAGUGCAAUGCAGCGGCACCGGGUGAAAUGGGCUAGGGUUUGGGGGCCGUGGGAUGCUGGGGAUAUAUUUUAACUUCGGUCGAUAUAAUUAUAAUUUUAGUCUUUGCUAAGUGCCCCAAUCUAGCACUCGGCAAAAGGCUAUUUAAAAAAACCCUGAAAUUCCUCUUUGCCAAAGGUCCUGCAGAGGCACUCGGCAUAAUUUUAUUUUUUUUUCUUUUUGCCUCCAAAUCUUUUAUGCUAUCCUCCUACAAUACCUUGAGGUACGUGUUCAAAUUUGAAAGUUUUCUAGUUUAUUUUGCUAUAUUUGGAUCAUUAAUUUUGUUUACUUGAUUUUUUUAUAAUUCAAUUUUGAACUGCAGGUGCAUCUAAUAAUAAAAUUGAGUGAUUCAAAAAAUGAUAGUCAUAUAUUUGAGUGUAUUCUGAGGCCAUAUCCAGGGACUGGCACAAAAUUUCAAACAUCUUCUUCUUGAAACAUGGCCACCAACUUGCAGGCGAUUUGUUUUAAAAUUCUAUAAAAUGCAAACGAAGUCCAUAAAUCAUGAAACUUGUCAAGAUGUCGUGAUACCACAUGUGGAGGGUGUGAUAAAAAAUUGAGAACGUUUCGUGCAAGUUGUGAUGUACGAUGCUUAAAACCCACACAUAUGCACAUGUGAUCACGAUAUUUUUCGUGUUUUGAGAUGUCACACAUUUUUUCGUAUAAAAUCGUGUGUUACAUAGCCAGCAAGAUUCAAACCCAUGACCUUCCCCUCGUGCGUAGCAUGCACUAUCAUUCAACCCAUCACUUAAUUGUGACUAUAUUAGAGUUUGGUUUCCACAAAUUAUCCUAAACCCGAGCAUACAUUGAUUGUUUGAGGCUCUAAACGAAUUUAAAUGAAAAAUUGUCAACUAUAAAGUUUCAUAACUUUUUAAGAUCUGCAACUUUUAUAUUGGUAGUUUCUCCAUCUGAGGUCGUUUACAAAAUUUGAAUUUCUAACAAAUUUGAACAUAAUUUUCGAUGACAAGACGUUUUCAAAUAAAAAAGUUAUCAAUUAUAAAGUUUUAUAACUUUUUGAGAAUGACAACUUUUAUUUUGAUGGUUUUUUCAUACGAGGUCAUUUAAAAAAUUAAAAAAAUCAAUUUCAAAAUACCUCUACGGGC
rnacentral:lncRNA from 1 species